ensembl:lncRNA
UUCUUCAUCAGAUUUGGAGAAAUGUAGCAUUACAUCACUUGCUCACCAAUGGAUGUGAAUGGGUGCCGUCAGAAUGAGAGUCCAAACACCUGAUAAAAAUGUCACAAUAAUCCACACCACUCCAGUCCAUCAUUUAACAUCUUGAGAAGAGAGGAGUUGUGUGUUUGUGAGAAACAUAUCCAUCAUCAAGGCAUUUUAACUUCAAACUGGUCAAAAUAUGAGUCCUUCUCCAGUCAAAAAGUCCAUCAUCUGUUGUCAUCUCACAUCAAAAUCCACCCACAUAUUUGAUUAGAGCUGCUUUGGCUUGUAAUUGGUGCUUGAUAUGUACAGAUUUCUCUCCUGAUUCAGACAAGAAAAAUUUUUCAUUUGAGAAAGCAAUAUCAUGGACAGAGGACUCGUAUUUUAACCAGAAGCAAAGGUUUGAAGUUAAAAAUGUCUCAAUGAUGGAUUUGUUUUUUACAAACAUGUAGCUUUUGGCUUUUCCAAGUCAUUAAUUGAUGGACUGGAGUGGUUUACUUGUGGAUUAUUGUGGUGUUUCUAUCAGCUGUUUGGACUCUCAUUCUGACGGCACCCAUUCACUGCAGAGGAUCCACUGAUUUGCUCCAUUGGAUUUCUCCAAAUCUGAUGAAGAAACAAACUCAUCUGCAUCUUGGAUGGCAUGAGGAUGAGAAGAUUUCAGCAAAACUUCAUUUUUGGGUGCAAUUGUGGAUGCAAUAAUGGGUAAGAUGAUAAAUAAUAUAUAUAUAUAUAAAUUUUACACAAUUAUGGCAUUUUUAAUUUUACUGAGGUUACUAUUUUUGAUAGCAAAUCUAGAUUUGACUUGUAGCUGUGGAACGUAGCAUGAUCUAAAAACCCUUAAGAUGUGGUAGCUAGUUUAGAGAGACUUUCAAUCAGAAAAAUAACCCAAAUUUCUCCUGGUCCGCUUGUGAAGUUUUCCCGUUACAUAUGUGAGUGCGUCACACCGUGUGAGAUCCCAUGCCAUGCUGCGUGGCCAUCUGCUCGGUGGAAAUGUAAGCAGACACAGGUUGGUGGGAAAGGAACUCUCAGAGAGAUUUCUGUGCUGCGCUCCUACAGGAGGUGGCAUGGAAAUCCGUGUGCAUUGGGUACAGUUAUGCAAUAUAGAUCAGAAUUCAUUUUUACACAGCAAUAUGGAUGGUGUUUCUUGCCAAAACCAAGUAGGGGAACAGCAGUAACUGGUACGAUGACAAUCCUGGGCCUGUUGCGUAAAACUAGCAUUGCUUACUAGCAGCCAACAAACCAGUUUUACUUUUUUGCUCUAAGAGUAAGUCAAGUGAUUCGGGAAAAAUAUUUAUAUAUUUUUUAAUCCAUAAUCAAUUAUAAAACAAUAAUAACAGCCAGAUGCCCUUCCUCUAAUUUUUUAUUGCAUAGAAAAUGUUGAAUGGAAACACCUUUUUUCUUCCCCCAAAUGAAAUUUUAAAAUGUUCAUUAAAAAUUUAUUUUUUUAAUGUCGUUAUCUAACAAGAAGUGCAUAUAUUUUGAUGGAAACAGGUUUAACAAAUAAUUUACUAAAUGCACAAAAAAGGUCAUGCAAGUUUAACUCGAUGUGGCUGAAUAAUUUGCUCAAAUGAUUAUUUCAACUCAACUUUUAGCAUUCCUGGCCCUUUGUGUAAGACUAGCAUUGCUUACUAGUAGCAAACAAACCUGUUUUACUGCUCUUGCUCUUAUAUUAAGUCAAGUGCUUCUGGGAAAAACUAUUUUCAUAUCCAUAUUCAAAUAUAAAACAGUAAUUACAAAAAAAUAAUUUUCAAUAUGUUCAUGAAUUUUUUUAACAAAACUUUUAUGACUAUUUUUAUCUUGCAAGAAGUGCAUAUACUAUGAUGGAAACAUAAAAAUAACAAAUACACAAAAAUAAUUUACUAGAUGCACAUCAAAACUGUGAACUAACAAACAAUUAACAAUGCAGAUUUCACCCAGUGUGAGUUAUUUUCCAGAGAUAAAUAAGAUAGAUAUUCCCCAACAGUGCUAUAACUAGCCAAACUAGGAGGGAUUUCAGCUGGUAAAGGUGGUGAGAGAGAUCACAAUGCUGCUAUAGAUCCUUGCCAAUGCUGAAAAAAUAAGUUUGUGGCUCAGAUCCAAGGUCAGGACUCUGAGAGGGACAGAUGGAUGCUGUGAAGGCGCUUAUUUACAUGCAGUCAGUUGGUGACAAUUAAGCGGCUAAAUAAGAAGGAAUGCUGUUAUUUCUUUCUUGUUCUCUUAAAAGGCUCCAAAAGGGGGUUUUCGCAGCACCGUCUUAGAAGACUAACUCUGGGCUCCAAAAAAUCAUUCUGUGAACACUUCUUAAAAGAAGCCUUUUUUUUAGUGUUAAGAACAUUUUAAAUCAUAUAAACAACCUUCUUUGACUCUAAAAAAUAAAGGUUCUUAUUGGCAUCUACAGUUCCACGAGGAACCUUUAACUUCCAAUCUUUCUAUUCCACAAAAGAUUCUUUAUAAUGGAAAAAGGUUUGUCAGAUUAUUAAAAUGUUCUUCAAACUAAGAAAAAAAAGGUUAUUUUAAGAACUGAUAACUGAUGGGUUCUUUGGGGAACCAAAAAUGGUUCUUCCAUGGCAUCACUGCGAAAACCUCUUUUUGGAAUCUUUAUUUUUGGCUUUUAUGGCUCCAUGAAGAACCUUUAACAUUAAUAGAACCUUUCCAUUCCACAAAAGAUUCUUUACACUCUUAAAAAUAAAGGUUCUAGAUUGGCACUGAUGGUUCCAUGAAGAACUAUUAACAUCCAUGGAACCUUUAUGGUUCUGUAUAGCAGAAAAAGGUUUUUUCAGAUUAUUACAAUGUUCUUCACACUAAGAAAAAAGAUGGUUCACUGAAAGGUUCUGUUGCAUCCCUAUGAAACCCCCUUUUGGAAACUUUAUUUUUUUAGAGAAGUAUCUAAUAAAGAACCUUUAUUUUUAAGAGUGAUAGCCUACAAUGCUCAUCUCCAACUCAUUUUUGUUCUGUCCAAAGUUGUGCGUUUCAGAGCAAACUCAGAAAUAUAGGCACAGAUCACAUGACUUGCACUUGAUUUAUCAGCUACUGUAAACAUAACAAAUAAUAAUCAGCUGUAAACAAGAUGAUGGCAACAGUUUAACACACUUGACCAAUUUUUGACAAAUAUUAACCAAAAACAAAUUAUUCCACAAAUUUGAAGACAUUUUACUGUCAGUGAUAAAACAUCCAGCUGCCUUUGAACAAGUCUCUCACCCUCCACUCAGGAGGAUGAAAUUACAUUAUUUAAAAAAUGAAAACUUCAAUAAAAGCAUAAAAACAUCUUAACUAGAUAGGAGCUCUGUUAGCACCCACAGUUUUGUCGUGACUUGUGGGUAGGCGAAAUGACAUGUGGAUCAUUCACAAUCAAGACUAAAUCUGGAAAUAUGUCCACAGCGGCUGCACUAGGAGUUAAUGCAAAAUACCACAGAUGAACUGGGUUAAAAAAAUGAACCAAAAUAUAUUACCAUACUUCCCCAGUUCCAUUAAGAAUUGCAGACAUUUUUUUUGCAUCACAAUUUUCUGAAAAAUUAUUUAAAAACAAAAACAAAUGAUGCAUUAUCUAAUAAAAUGUGCAGUCAUUUACAUAUAUUUCCAGAACAUAUAUAUGAACACUGGACAAAGCCUGAUUCAAAAUUCUAAUUUCAUUCUAUUUACAUAUUAGAGUAAAAGGUUUUUACAGAUGGGAUUUUGGAUUUCUGUUUUUAUUGCUUCGUAAUUCAGUAAAUACUGUCAAAAGCCAAAAUAAAGUCAUUUUCACUAUGCUGUUAGGAAUAAAAUGAUGUAUAAAUGACAUAUAAAAAAACCCUUCUAUAAAAAGCCUCAGAAUAUAGAGAGGAAUAAAACUUUAAAAUUUGGUGUAUGUGAGUGCUGCUGAAGUAGAGAAACAAACUCGUUUUGAGUAAACGACCUUUAAAGAUAUGCAGCGUAAUUGAAAUCUACAGACAUAAAGAGAUAAAGUUCAAUAAUAAAAUCAGGUGAAUGACACAUGAACAAACCCUUCUAUGAAAUCCUUCAGAAUAUAGACAGGAAUAAAACUGUAAAUUUUGGUGUAUGUAAGUGCUGCUGAAGUGGAGAGACAAACUCAUUUUGAGAAAAUUGUUAUUGAAUAUAUAAAAUAUUAAAUAUAAAAUAUUAUAAAAUAUUGUAAUUGAAAUCUACAAAUGCAAAUAGUUUAAGUGCAAUAAAAAAGUAUAAUUUGCCUUAAGUCAACACAUUAUGAAAAGCAAAAUCCCAGAACUGACCAGUGCAUGAAAAAAAAAUAAGUUUUUGCCUGUAGUGUCUUGCUUUAUUUACUCUUUUGGACAAUUUAGUGAUUCUAUUAAAGUUUAGCAUCUACGGUGGUAACUGCACUGGGCAAUUCACACAUGAAUUUUGACAUCUGCUUUGUGAUUAUGGUAUUGUCAAGUUGGCUUUGGACUCUAGAGGGCGACACUAUCAGGUGCAUAAGAAAGUAAAUGUGUUUUCCACCAAGGUAGAACAUACAAAUGUGUAUUAUAUUCAUUAUACUGUUUAAAAACAGUAGUGAAACUACUCUUUUCUAAAAAAAAAAUAUAUUUCUGAUUCAUUAAACAAAUAAAAUAAUUGUGAAAAAACAAUCAAUGCAUUUCAGUUCAUCUUAUAGUUUAGAAUACAGACCAUCUAAUCAAUAAAUAUAAAGCCACCGCAUGAGAUUGUUAAAUGCACAGGCAUUCAUUUCCUAAAUUAAAUAUUUUUCCCCAUGUUAUUAAAGUAGUUAUAAAAGAUAAUAAUAUCCGUACUGACCUGUGCAGGGCUGCAUCUUGGUUAGUCCAUUUCAAACUCUACUUUUGCCUGAAGAAAAAGACACAACAUAUAUUAUUAUAAUUGUAAUACUUAUAUAUGUAAACACAGUUACUGCUGUAUUUGUGGUAUUUCACUCUAUACAUGUGAUCCUGAAAUAACACUUUUUUUUUUAAUUAAUCCAUGCUGUUCAUAAACAUUUCGCUAUUUGUUUAAUGAAGUAAAUCAUCAAUAUGGUUAAUUGAUGACUGUGAGGAAUUAUUUAUCAAAGAUCAACAAAAGGUGUAGUAAUUAGUGAUUAUUAAAUCAGCUGAUUAUGAAAAACUGAACAGAGGAGGUUAAAUGUGAAUAUGCAAUUCAAAAAGAUGUCCUACAAAUUUUAUAUUUGGUGAUUCUGCAAAAAAAAAAAAAAAAGACAUGACAUUAGUUGGAAAAAUGGCAACAAAUUUUGAAUGCAUUUCUCAUUAAAGCACAUAAUUUUCAUUUACAAACUAAAAACGAGCUAGUACAAAUAUAAAAAAUACAAGGUGUUGUAACUUAAAACAGAGAUAAAAAAAAAAACAGAAAUUAG